rnacentral:piRNA from 1 species
UGCGCGCAUGCGAGGUGCCUGUUUUCC